rnacentral:hammerhead_ribozyme from 1 species
AUCCAGCUGACACGUGCCAAAUAGGAUGAAACACUUGUCCUGUAU